rnacentral:lncRNA from 1 species
GGUGGCUCUGAGGCAGACGCGUGCCUGGUAUAUUGGGAGAACAGCAUAGAACAAAAUGCAGAUGCUAAGAGGACUCCAUUCUGAUGACUGUCUAUAUCAAGGCCUCCUACCCUCAGGGAAUUGGGUGAGCUGUUCCUGUUGAUGAAGCUAUGGGGCUCUCCUAUGGGAGAUACCAGUAUUUGCAUAUGGGACUUGGUGCCUAGAUUGGAGCUGGCUUUGGGACACUCUCUACAGUGCAAGUUCAUCUAACCAUGUGCUUAGAAGCUCCAGAGUGGAGCUCUCACUCACCUGGAGGUUGCCUCAAGAGAUGACAGUCAAUCUACAAUGCAAAAUAUGCCUGCUGUGAAAUUAUUUCCUACUUGGAGAGUUUCAGCCACCUUUACAACCUAGUUCUGCCCACAAGGACACCAAUGGUCACCAGCUUGAUCACCUGGUAGAUAGGGCACUAAAGCAAGUUUUGUGGAUCCUCACCUGAUGCUUCGUCUGCUGCUUGUCAUUCAUGCUACACCCCCUUUUAAAAGUGCCUGCUUUCUGCUCCAAAAGCAAAGUGUUACCCUUAAGGCAGGAAGCCUGUACUUCUUCCCCCUAAGCUAGUUUUGGAAUAAAAAUGUCACUUUCUUUAUACCAGCCCUCACUCUUGUUAAUUAGACUCU